rnacentral:rRNA from 1 species
UACGGAGGGUGCAAGCGUUAAUCGGAAUUACUGGGCGUAAAGCGCACGCAGGUGGCUGAGUCAGUCGAUUGUGAAAGCCCUGGGCUUAACCUGGGAAUUGCAGUCGAUACUACUUAGCUAGAGUAUGGGAGAGGGCAGUGGAAUUCCCGGUGUAGCGGUGAAAUGCGUAGAUAUCGGGAGGAACAUCAGUGGCGAAGGCGGUCUGCUGGGCCGUUGCUGACGCUGAGGCGCGACAGCGUGGGGAGCAAACAGG